CAGAACAUCUCAGGCGCAAUCUCCUCUCUCGUAGUCAACAACAUCUGUCAAAAUGGGAGGGCCUGCAUCGUCUGCUAACCUGAAGGAUCUGGAGGAUGAGAGGCUGUGGGAGCAGGAGGAGAAGACGCAGGAAGAGGAGAGGCUGCAGGAGCUGGGCAUAAGGCCGAGCUCUGCGGGGAGCAGGCGAAGGCGUGCGUGCAAACCCUGGAGGCCAUGCAGACCGAGCUCACCACCGUCAGCUGUGCACUCUCCUAGAACCACGAGCUGGAGGAGCAGCUGGCCGAGCUGCAGAGCGGCUUCAAGGAGCUGGUGUUCAGCCCCACCUGGGGAGCCUCCCCUUCUCCCUAGCCCUCUGGGUCUUUGUUUCCCCACCUGUGAAAUGGGCGUUGUAGCCCUCACGUGAAAUGGUACUUCUGAAGGCACCUGUGAGCCAGAGCCCUGCUCGGAUGGCUGUGGGGGAGGGGGGAUGGUUUUUCUCUAACCUGCCUCCACCCUUCCUGGGGCCAUGGGAGGCAGAAGGCAGACACCAAGUUCUGGGGUCUCCAGCUGCAGUGGGUGGCCACUGAUUGCUUCUCUCUGUCCAGAACAAGGAGAACAUGGAGAUAGCCAGUCCAUUGCAGUCGGAGCUGCAUGGCAAGAAGGAGCUGCAGGAGAAGCUGGGCUGAAGGAGACGGUAACCCUGACCCAUCCAAGAAGGGCUAGGAGGUGGAACUGAAGAGCCAAGAGACUCAGAGUCUGCAGGGAGACCAAUACCUGGGACACCUGUAGCAGUACCCAAGGGCACUGACUUCCAUCCAGCCCAGGCGUCUUCCGUUCAGUCCUCCUGCCUCCCUCACUGGUCUGUGCCUCCGGAGUGCCGGCUGCCCCGCAGGCUCUCUCCAGGCUGAGUUUGUGGCCCUGCCCCAUCAUGGCUAGAGCCGGCUUCACAGGAUGAGAGCCAGCUAAGCUCCAGGAGCUUUCCAGGAAAAGUGUCCCUUGGAAACACCUUUUCAAGGUGAAAGGUGUUCCUUUUCACCGUUCCCAACAGCACCCUAGUAAUGGCGUGGCCCUUUCCCUCCCCUGAGCUCCACGGAGAACACAACCAGCAGGAGACAUUCCCUGUUAUCAAGAAAUGAGUUUGAUUCCCAGCCGAGGGACAGCAGGACUGGUAGAGACCGUCAGGCCACACGGCUGCCUGCACAGCACCCCAAUACUUGGCAGGGGGCAGGAGGGGUGGCAGGAGCUGGCUGUCCAAAGGCCGGGCACGGCAGGGAGGCUCACUGGAGGCGGCGCAUUUUGGAGGGGGGAUGUCAAGGGACAGUAUUUUCUUGUAGUUGGACCACAAGACUCCACAAGGACAGCAUGGUGACUGAUUCCCAGCGCUAGAGGAGAGGCGGUCGGCCAUGUGUAGGUGUGUCUAUAUAUGAGUAUUGAUAGAUAUUUACAGAACAGGGUAGGGCGUACAACAGAGGCACAAGUUUUCACCAGUGGUCACACCUGGAUGUGUCAGCUCACCACGACAGCAGACUAAGUCACAGAUGAAGGGGGCUGGCUUUGGGGCUGGGGGAGCCACUGUUAAGUCACAGAACAACCGUCCAGGCAGGCUGGGAAAGGGAGGUCACCGAGAAGAGGAGGGAUCUGUUUAGAGGUCGAAGGGCUUGGGGCUCUCUUGCCUGACUCGAUCUAUCAGCUGGCAGUUGCAGAGAAAGCGGAGAGAAAACAGGAGAGAGAAAAGCGAGGAGAGCUGGUAAGGCAAGUGCAGCACAUGCCGCAGCAGUGGUGGGAGGGCCCGGGAGGGGAGGGAGAGGGAAGGGUGCAGGUGCAGGUGCAGGUACAGGUGCGGGUGUGGCAAGGUUCCUGGAAAGGAGGGGCUGGAAGAGAAAGGGGAGGAUGAUGGAGGAUUCGGAGCUUCACAGGUAGCACCUGGGGGCUGUGGCGGCCCUCCCAACCCCACACACGCUGGCCUUUCCCACGGCACCCAGGCAGUGCACCCACAGUUCAGACCGAUCUCAGCCCCCUCGGGCUUCCCUCUUCUCUGGUCACCCUGUCUUCCAACCCACUGGCUCAGGGCUACCCCUCGCCGUGGAGAGCCCCACGCAACAGCCACCAGGCCUGAUAGAGAAAACACUGCUUGAACCGGGAGGGUGAAGCUAAAAGGGGUCAGAAAGCCCAAGACCCUCUGAAGGGACCCUGGGGGAAGCAGGGAGGGCAGGCAGCCAGAUGCCAGUGGCCAUAGACUUGUAAGUCUAAGUGGGGAGCCUUAGCUGGUCGGGGGUGGGGGGGCGCUGCAGGUGAGGCUGGGGUCUUCCUGCUGGGAAAAGCAGAAGAGCAAGAGUCAGUGGCCGGGGAAGUUGGCGGGCUCGCUGGGCAGAGCUCAGCCGGGCCAGCAGGCACCGUGGUCCCCUUGGCUGAAUAGCAUAGGCAGCUCCUAGGAGCAACAGGCCAAGGUGCGUGAGCCGCCGGCUGGCUAUGGUCCUUCUGCUGGGGCCAGGGACACUGCCUUCAGUCACACGCUAGCAGGUAUGUCAGUACCAGGAGGGAGGCAAGACCUCAUUUCUAUAAAAAAGAUAAAACCUGGCAUGGUGGCUCACACCUGUAAUCCCAGCACUUUGGGAGGUUGAGGCAGGUGGAUCACAGUGUCAGGAGUUUGAGAUGAGCCUGGCCAACAUGGUGAAACCCCAUCUCUACUAAAAAUAGAAAAAUUAGCCGGGCAUGGUGGCGGGCACCUGUAAUCCCAGCUAUUUGGGAGGCUGAGGCAGGAGAAUUGCUUGAACCUGGGAGGCGGAGGUUGCAAUGAGUUGAGAUCACGCCAUUGCACUCCAGCCUGGGCAAAAAGAGCAAAACUCUGUCUCAAAAAAAAUAAAAAAUAAAAGAAGAUAAAUUAGCCCGGUGUAGUGGUGCACACCUGUGGUUCCAACUACUUAGGAGGCUGAGGCAGGAGGAUCGCUUGAGCCCAGGAGGUUGAGGCCGCAGUGGGCCAUGAUUGCUCCACUGCACUCCAGCCUGGGCAAGAGCAAGACCAUGCCUCAAAAACAAAAACAAACAAAGAAAAAGAGACAAGGAGGAGGGAGAUUACAUCUUGAUUUACCCUAUACUUUAAUUGAAAUUCAGCAUUUCCUUCCAUGGUGAAUGUUGCUGGGAACAAACCUCAUUAGUGUUAGAAGCACCUGUUACCUUGUUACCAAUAGAAAUCAGAUAUUUUCAUGUUACACUGCAGCUGUUGCAGACAUCUUGAGAUAUCACUUUUGCUCACUAUUACCUCAAAAUUAUAGUAAUUAGACCCAACUCUGGAUCUUAUUUAACAUGCCAGUAAAGCAUAUCAUGUAAUAUCACAAAUAUUUUCAUAAACUGUAUAUGAUUUAUA